CUCGCGGGUCGAUGAAGAACGCAGUUAACUGCGCGUCAUAGUGUGAACUGCAGGACACAUUUGAACAUCGACAUUUCGAACGCACAUUGCGGUCCGUGGAAACACAUCCAGGACCACUCCUGUCUGAGGGCCGGCU
rnacentral:rRNA from 1 species